CUUCCGCCCCGCCCGCCGGCAGUAUCGCGAGAGCUCGCCUCUUCCUCCCCGCCGGAGACGCGCCGGGCGGUCCCUAUGGAACAAGAAUUUCAUCCACAGUAGCUGAAUUUUUCAAAGUGAAGGGAAAAGGACAUUACAUAGAAACUUCAGCCUUCCAGCUACUUGCGAGGCAGCAACAUGUGUGUGCUCCGGGGAUUGACCAUGCCUCUGGUUUUUGUUGCAGUUUUUGAGGUAGCUGAAGAAGCAAUAUAUUUAUGGCCAAUCAGGAAGAAAUCAAGGAACUAAGUAUUUGCUUACCUUUAGCUGGAUGAUGAAACCCACUUCUGUUCAGCAAAGCAGAGCGACACCACGUAGAGGAGAAAGUCCAUCAGCACGGCAGGACGCCUGCCCUGCACCCUCAAUAUGAGAUGUGGCAGCCAACAAGGUCUUGCUCUGUGGA